UACGUAGGGGGCAAGCGUUGUCCGGAAUCAUUGGGCGUAAAGAGCGUGUAGGCGGCCCGGUAAGUCCGCUGUGAAAGUCCAGGGCUCAACCCUGGGAUGCCGGUGGAUACUGUCGGGCUCGAGUCCGGAAGAGGAGUGUGGAAUUCCUGGUGUAGCGGUGAAAUGCGCAGAUAUCAGGAGGAACACCGGUGGCGAAGGCGGGUCUCUGGGCCGAUACUGACGCUGAGGCGCGAAAGCUAGGGGAGCAAACGGG
rnacentral:rRNA from 1 species